AAAAGUGGCAGCAAGCAAAAAUGGGAAAUACUGGAAGCCAUUGAGAUGUGUAAGGUGUGGGGUCUCAAAUGUGCUUUUGGGACAAAGUAACGACAACACAGUAGUGCAGACAAUCACAAGGGCAUUUAUUCCGCCUUUUAUACACGAAUCUAGCCAGUUGAAUCACAGCCAAUAGAGCAUGCCGAUGGGCGCUGCCGAAUCGAGGAAGUUCGACUCACCACGACAGAAUAGCGAGCAAAUAUGUUCGCCCCCAUGCUUAACACCAACACCUAAUCAUUUGUGUGUACAGUCACAUGAAUGGUGUUGCGUUCGAACGAUCGAGUUCAUCCAUCCCGAUGCCCCACUCCGAAGCCUCUCUCAGGAUGGUCCUGCGAAUUGUGUCAGUGCACACGCGAAAUGUCCGCACAGCUCACAGACCCCAAGCCAAAGAGGAACUAUCUACUCUCUUUUGCACCCAAGUAACCUCACCGUUAGGUGGCAUUAGCGGCGCAACACUCGCACCAUCUCUCGUACUAAUCUGCAACCAUACCGCCGCCCGUCCUCGGUGCUUAACUACGCAGAGUAGCCAGAUUACAGGAGACAUGAGAGGCCAUGUGGGGAAAACAACAUGGGGGAAAA
rnacentral:lncRNA from 1 species